GGUCCUAUGGUGUAGUGGCAGCACAUGGGAUUUUGACUGUAUCACGGAAUUAUUCCCACGACCCAGGUUCGAACCCUGGUUGGACCU